rnacentral:rRNA from 1 species
GACGAACGCUGGCGGCGUGCCUAAUACAUGCAAGUGAAGUUCAGUGGCGGACGGGUGAGUAAUACGUGGGUAACCUGCCCUCCUUUUUGGGAUAAGCCUUGGAAACGGGGUCUAAUACCGAAUAAAGGGGGAUGGGCUCGCGGCCUAUCAGCUUGUUGGUGGGGUGAUGGUCUACCAAGGCGGUGACGGGUAGCCGGCGUGAGAGGGGGACUGGACACUGUGGGACGGAGAUACGGCCCCGACUCCUACGGGAGGCAGAAGGGGUGGAUAUUGCACAACGGGCGAAAGCCUGAUGCAGCGACGCCGCGGGGGGGAUGAAGGCUUACGGGUUGUAAACCUCUUUCGCUAUCGAAUGGGUAGGUGGAGAAGAAGCGCCAGCUAACUACGUGCCAGCAGACGCGGUAAUAC